rnacentral:tRNA from 1 species
GGUUGUAUAGUGUAGCGGUUAUCACCUUGGAUUCUGAUUUUCCAGUAACCCCGGUUCGAUUCCGGGUACGACCU